UGCCAGCAGCCGCGGGUAAUACGGAGGAUCCGAGCGUUAUCCGGAUUUAUUGGGUUUAAAGGGUGCGUAGGCGGCUAUUUAAGUCAGGGGUGAAAGACGGCAGCUCAACUGUCGCAGUGCCUUUGAUACUGAAUAGCUUGAAUGUACUUGAGGUAGGCGGAAUGUGACAAGUAGCGGUGAAAUGCAUAGAUAUGUCACAGAACACCAAUUGCGAAGGCAGCUUACUAAAGUAUGAUUGACGCUGAGGCACGAAAGCGUGGGGAUCAAACAGGAUUAGAUACCCUGGUAGUCCACGCCCUAAACGAUGAAUACUCGAUGUUGGCGAUAUACAGUCAGCGUCAAAGCGAAAGCGUUAAGUAUUCCACCUGGGGAGUACGCCCGCAAGGGUGAAACUCAAAGGAAUUGACGGGGGCCCGCA
rnacentral:rRNA from 1 species